AGUUUGAUCAUGGCUCAAGAACGAACGCUGGCGGCAGGCCUAACACAUGCAAGUCGAACGCUCGUAGCAAUACGGGAGUGGCAGACGGGUGCGUAACGCGUGGGAACAUACCCUUUGGUUCGGAAUAACUCAGGGAAACUUGAGCUAAUACCGGAUACGCCCGAGAGGGGUAAGAUUUAUUGCCGAAGGAUUGGCCCGCGUCUGAUUAGCUAGUUGGUGAGGUAACGGCUCACCAAGGCGACGAUCAGUAGCUGGUCUGAGAGGAUGAUCAGCCACACUGGGACUGAGACACGGCCCAGACUCCUACGGGAGGCAGCAGUGGGGAAUAUUGGACAAUGGGCGCAAGCCUGAUCCAGCCAUGCCGCGUGAGUGAUGACGGCCUUAGGGUUGUAAAGCUCUUUACCCGGGAAGAUAAUGACGGUACCGGGAGAAUAAGCCCCGGCUAACUUCGUG
rnacentral:rRNA from 1 species